UACGAAGGGGGCUAGCGUUGCUCGGAAUUACUGGGCGUAAAGGCGCGUAGGCGGACAGUUAAGUCGGGGGUGAAAGCCCGGGGCUCAACCCCGGAAUUGCCUUCGAUACUGGCUGUCUUGAGUUCGGGAGAGGUGUGUGGAAUGCCGAGUGUAGAGGUGAAAUUCGUAGAUAUUCGGCGGAACACCAGUGGCGAAGGCGGCUUACUGGUCCAUUACUGACGCUGAGGUGCGAAAGCGUGGGGAGCAAACAGG
rnacentral:rRNA from 1 species